CAAACAUCAGGUUGGGUAUAACUUGCCCUAAGUCAUUUGCAUGGUCUGGAAGAAAGCACAUACUCAUGAAGAGACACUUCAGAUUUUGAAGCGAAUUUCCAGUGGAACACUUAAUGAAGUCCUGGUCUGCACAGAGGGCAGGAUGCCACAAGUGCACUUCAGGUAAGCUGCAGAGUUCUGCCAGGGACCAUGGCAUCAGCAUUUAUGUCAGGGAGGGAGAUUGAGCUCCAUGACCACUUGGCAGACUUGCCUGUGCUAUGAUUGCCAAACUGAGUGUUGUUUGGGAAAGCUGUGG
rnacentral:lncRNA from 1 species